AUCCCAACACACAUGGCGCGUCACUAUAUCAUAACUAAAUUAAAAAAAUAAAAAAUAAAAAUACAAUUACAAUUAAUAUACUUUUAAUAAGUAAAUAAAAAUAAAAAAUAUAAUGGGUAAUAAAUGGCUUACAAAUCAAUUAUUAAAAAGCAAUUGCACUAAAAAAGACAAUUAGUCUCGUACAUCUAAGAGACAGCCAUUAACUUUAUUCCAUUAAAAAAAACCCUAGAUUUAUAUUUUUCACUUUCAUCUCUCUCAUUUUAGUUCUUCUCAGGCCACACAUCUAAGAGACAAUGCCAACCAAGGGAACGUCGGCGAGAUUGACGUUCAAGAUCAUCUCAGAGUUCGCUCACGGCAAGGGAACGUUGACGCUUUCCAAGGAUCUCUAGGUCGACUACGGCGGAGAGAUCAACCCAUGCGAUGGAUGGGUCUUCGGCGAUCGACGUCUUCAACGAAGCCGGAAGCUCAGAUCUUCACCUCGAAAAUAUUCAGACGAUGGAGGAUUUGUAUCGAUUCAGGCUCAAAACUGGUCGGUUCCAGGGUUGCAGCUAGAUAGGGACGAAGAUCAACACUAUCAAUGGAACUAAGUUAUUUAUUUUUUAUUUUUUUUUUAUCAAAUUCUCAUACCCAUAAUUCUGGGUUUACAUUGUUCUUGUAUUUUCUUUAAAACAAUUAUGUAUUCUUUUUGAAAUAUUUUAAUGUAAUUUGUUUUAGGUUUUA